rnacentral:rRNA from 1 species
UUAUGGCUCAGAACGAACGCUGGCGGCGUGCUUAACACAUGCAAGUCGAACGCGAAAGGGACUUCGGUCCUGAGUAAAGUGGCGCACGGGUGAGUAACGCGUAGAUAACCUGUCUUCAUGUCUGGAAUAAUACGCCGAAAGGGGUACUAAUACCGGAUAUUCUUGCUUUUCAUAAGUUAUGCAAGCAAAGGUGGCCUCUGCAUAUGCUACUGCAUGAAGAGGGGCCUGCGUACCAUUAGCUAGUAGGUGGGGUAAUGGCCUACCUAGGCGACGAUGGUUAGCGGGUCUGAGAGGAUGAUCCGCCACACUGGCACUGGAACACGGGCCAGACUCCUACGGGAGGCAGCAGUGAGGAAUAUUGCGCAAUGGGGGAAACCCUGACGCAGCGACGCCGCGUGAAGUGAGGAAGGCCUUCGGGUCGUAAAGCUCUGUCAAGAGGAAAGAAGUGUACAAUGGCUAAUACCUGUUGUAUUUGACGGUACCUCUAAAGGAAGCACCGGCUAACUCCGUGCCAGCCGCUGC